rnacentral:misc_RNA from 1 species
CAACCCUCGAGCGGACCCGUCCGCCCGGUGUUGGGGCCCCGCGGCGCGCCGCGGGCCCUGAAAGAUAUCGGCGGUGCCUGCCAGCACUCCGGGCGCAGUAGCAAACCUCGCCCAGGACGUGCCGGCGGCGCCUGCCGCCAAGCGCCCCCAGCGGGCACACUUCUAA